rnacentral:rRNA from 1 species
UACGAAGGGGCUAGCGUUGCUCGGAAUGACUAGGGCGUAAAGGGCGCGUAGGCGGCGAUCAAGGUCAGAUGUGAAAUUCCUGGGCUUACCUGGGGGCUGCAUUUGAUACGUGGUGGCUUGAGUGCGGAAGGAGGGUUCGUGGAAUUCCCAGUGGUAGAGGUAGAAAUUCGUAGAUAUUGGGAAAGAACACCAGUGGCGAAGGCGCUACCUGGACCGGUUCGUGAACGCUGAUGCG